CAUUUUUUACUGAUAUUUAUUGUAAAUAAUUCCUGCUCAAUGAAAUUUUUAAAUAGCCGCAGAAAUUUUACUGUGCUAAGGUAGCAUAAUCAUUAGCCUUUUAAUUGAAGGCUUGUAUGAACGGAAAAACAUUUCAUUAAUUUUAUUAUCUAAUUUUCUUUUAAAUUAAAUUAAGAAUAAAAAUGUUCUUAUUAUUUAAUUAGACGACAAGACCCUUUUGAACUUUACUUUUGUUUAGCUGGGGCAGCUAAAAAAUAAUAAUCUUUAUUAACCUUUUUUUUCUUAAAUAAAAGAUCCAAUAAAAUUGAUUAAAUGAACAAGUUACCAUAGGGAUAACAGCGUAAUAUUUUUUUAAAGUUCUUAUUAAAAAUAAUGAUUACGACCUCGAUGUUGAAUUAAUAUUUCUAUAAUUAUGCAAUAAUUUUUAUAGUUGGUCUGUUCGACCAUUAAAAUAUUAC
rnacentral:rRNA from 1 species